rnacentral:rRNA from 1 species
UUGACGGGACCCCGCACAAGCAGCGGAGCGUGUGGUUUAAUUCGAUGCUACACGAAGAACCUUACCAGGGUUUGACAUGCAAGUGGUAGGAAUCCGAAAGGUGACCGACCCUUCGGGGAGCUUGCACAGGUGCUGCAUGGCUGUCGUCAGCUCGUGUCGUGAGAUGUUCGGUUAAGUCCGCUAACGAGCGCAACCCUCGUCGUGUGUUAUACGUGUCACACGAUACUGCCGGUAUCAAGCCGGAGGAAGGUGGGGAUGAUGUCAAGUCAGCAUGGCCUUUAUAUCCUGGGCUACACACACGCUACAAUGGCAGAUACAAUAGGUCGCUAAACCGCGAGGUGGAGCCAAUCCUCAAAGUCUGUCUCAGUUCAGAUUGUAGGCUGCAACUCGCCUGCAUGAAGUCGGAGUUGCUAGUAAACGCAGGUCAGCUAUACUGCGUUGAAUACGUUCCCGGGGUUU